rnacentral:misc_RNA from 1 species
UUUCCGUAGGUGAACCUGCGGAAGGAUCAUUACAGAGUUCAUGCCCGAAAGGGUAGACCUCCCACCCUUGUGUAUUAUUACUUUGUUGCUUUGGCGAGCGCAAGCUCGCCAGGGACUACCAAAACUCUUUUUAUUAAUGUCGUCUGAGUACUAUAUAAUAGUUAAAACUUUCAACAACGGAUCUCUUGGUUCUG